GACGAACGCUAGCUACAGGCUUAACACAUGCAAGUCGAGGGACCGGCGCACGGGUGAGUAACACGUAUCCAACCUGCCCUUUACUCGGGGAUAGCCUUUCGAAAGAAAGAUUAAUACCCGAUAUAAAGGAUGGGGAUGCGUUUCUUUAGGUUGUGGGUGAGGUAACGGCCCACCAAGCCUUCGAUGGAUAGGGGUUCUGAGAGGAAGGUCCCCCACAUUGGAACUGAGGCGCGGUCCAAACUCCUACGGGAGGAAGCAGUGAGGAAGAUUGGUCAAUGGGCGUUAGCCUGAUCCAGCCAAGUAGCGGGAAGGAUGAAGGCUUAUGGGUCGUAAACUUCUUUUAUAUAAGAAUAUGUAUUAUAUGAAUAAGGAUCGGCUAACUCCGUGCCAGCAGCCGCGGUAAUUC
rnacentral:rRNA from 1 species